rnacentral:lncRNA from 1 species
ACAUUGACUUUGAAAUUUAUUAGACUCUGCCAAUUAUUGUACAAGUGCGUAUUACCGAAGAUUGCCGAACGAAGUGACCCAAGUUCAUUUGCCAGGGUUACUGGGUGACGAAAAAGUACAUAACGACGAGAAUACACACAAAACCAACGCUUCGAUGAACGAACAUUUUUACUCCUUACAUUCAAGUUAUUGUAAUUUGUUUUAGAUCUGUUGUAUUAAAAUUUACGUGAAAUUCUGAAAAUUCUUCACCACAUCCACAACUAUUGGUCCUUCGAACUGCGAAUCUACAGUGCCAGCAGAACUACAAAGAAAAUAGCAGCUUUACAUUCUACGAACCGACGUCGUACUUGACCCGCUGUAUCAACCCCAGGAAGCUACAUUUACAACACUGAAUACUGAAUCCUUUUUAUAAUUUCACAUUUUUUCAGUCUCUAUUUGAUAAAUAUUUUAAGUACAUGAGUUUCAAUCUAAAUUAAUAUAUUUAUUUCGAAUAGUGACAUAUUAGGUCUGUUCCUUUGUUUUUUAGUGUUACACUUUUGAGUGUAAGUGUACGAAAUUCUAUGGACAUUCGAGUGUAAAAUGACAGCGGAUGUCACAGCGGCUCAUGACAGCGGACAGUAUUAAAGGAAAAUUAUCGGUGUGCCAAUCAAGCAAAGGGACAAGGAACUUCCGAAUAUGGCCUAACUGGGGGCACAUUGGGCACAUAACAUAACAUAACCUAAUCCUAAUAUUAGGCAAUCCAAACCACGUGACCUCUGGUUGGCACACAAACUAACGAAGAGGUUAUGUUUGUAUCUAUUUUUCAAUGAUUUUUCAUUGUUUAUCGUCGUAUUUUGUCUAUUUUCAAUUCAUUUGGAUUUCGUUUCCUGUUUUUGUGAACUUUAUAAACUUUACCACAAUGCAAACUGAUUAUUUAAGGAAAUUAUUAUUGGAAACUCCAGAUGUUGCGAGAAAGAUAUUUAUUGAAGCUGAAAAUAAUUGGGGAUUUAGAUCCAUACGGAAUUCAGUCAGAAUUGGAUUUUACAGUAAAGUGCAGUCCAUCAAGUUACUAUUAUAGAUAUUUAUACAGAUCUGGUGGAGUCUCACAGUUGCUACUCUAAGCAGCAGAUGAAAGCAUACAAAAGCCUUCAGGCACAUAAAUAUUUUACAGCUGGAUUUGUUUUGAAUGGAGUAAAAAUUGUUAAUGAUUUCCUGAUUUCCAUAUUAUUGUUGGAAAGGUGAAGCAUUUCCAAAAAGCUAAUGCUAAACGACUAAAUGCUUGGGUGGGGUGAUAGCCAGUUCUGAUGACAUAGCAAAUGCACAUUGUAUGCGUAUGGCUGGUAAUAGUGAAGUCUGCAGCAAUCCUAUUUUUAGCUGAGUAUGUCCAGAGCAAGACAGACGAAGAAGAACCCAAUGCAUGUACAUAUGUUACAGCUACAUGGUUUGGAGAUAGCAACAUAUGCAUUCUCUGAUGAAAAACUAAUGAGUUUUGAAACUGUUCGGUCAGAGUGCUUGUUGCGCUCACUAAACGAACUGAAAUAUAAGAUGGCUUUGGCAUUGUGUUGCAGCGAUAUGAAAAUGGUUAUUCAUUUUUAAUUAUAAUGUACUUCUUCAUCAUGAGUAAUUAUGUAUUGGUCUUUUAGAUGUGUAUUUAUUUUUGUAAUUAGUAUCAACUUGUAAUGAUAAUAUAUAUUUAUUGUUUAAGGUACGACUAUGUUUUGACUCUAAAAUAAAUGUUUUAAAAAUCGAAUCCUGCCUCUUUCUGUUAGUAACUACCCAUGGAUAUCACAAAUUGUGCUUACUGAUAGGUUUGUUCGUAGAACGAUCAGCAACUCUUGCCAACCAUCAGACACAUGCGCAUUCGUAGUCUAUGAAUGCUAACUAUUAACUGCACAACACUAACUGUUAACUGCUCAUGCAUCUGAUGGUUGACAGCAGUUGCUAAUCGUUUGUGUCGUACUAGGAACAAACCUAUUAGGUCUGGAUCCUGUGUACCAAAAAAAUUGAUUAAUAGCAAGCUGAAAAUUUGUUAAUAGCUUAACGGUGUCCAGUUGGACAAACUUUGAUGUAUUGUGACACUGGAACAGGGGUAGUUUUAAUUGUGAAACAGUUUGGAAACUCAGAUUUGGAACAUCAGAUUACAAAAACAUCCCAUAUAUUUUGUCGGACAGAACAUCCAAUUGAUCUGUUACCCUUUCAUUAAAUUGUCAUGCAAAAAUCAGACUGCUAUUACUAACCAACAUGAUUCCUGUAGUUUGACAUGGUCUUCGUGUUCUACUCAUUAAAAUGCCCAGUUGAUGAUUUUUUCACCAAUCUGGUUUUUGCAUGAGGGUUUUAUUGAAUUGGUAGCAAAUCAAUUGGAAGUUUUAUCUGACAAAUUACAUAAACAUUUUCGUAGUUUGACGUUCCAAAUUUUUAACCUGUUCCACAGUUAAAACUUCUAGUGUUCCCAUACAUCAAAGUUUGUCGGACUAGACACUGUUAAGCUAUUAAUAAAUUUUCAGCUUGCUAUUAAUCAACUUUUUUUGGUACGCGGGAUCCAGGUCUAUAUGGAAUAAAUAAAUAACAAAACAAAUUCCCUGUCAAAACUGCAUUUAUUUUGAAUAGAAUGAAAAACAAAAUAAUAUUGUUUUAACAAAAUAGGGGAUAAAUGUUAAAAUUUAGUAUUAAUAAAGUUUGUCACAUUAGCCUAAUAUUAAUGUCACUAGUUACGUUAGUGUCACAUAUAAAUAAUUGUAAUAAUAUUAAUAAAAAGCAUAAUUCCUAGCAUGAGUGCGUCCUGUUUUUUGAUAAUUUAGUUAGGCGAGGAAACAUAAAUGAGUUUCUAAUAGGGCUUUUCAUCGAUUGUCAUUUGUUUCGAGCUUCUGUUAGAUGUUGUAUAAUUCGUGUAUAAUAUUACUAUACACGGAUUAUAGGACAUAUGACAGAAGCUCAAAACAAAUGACUGUGAAUGAAAAGCCCUAUAGAGGGAAGACGAAAAAAAUUAACAUUAUCCGAUCAGCUCGACUUUCACAGUUCACUACUAUACAAGUUACAGGCAUGUUUUCAGCACUUAAAAUCACCAAAAACGAAAAGUUUAUAAAAUAAUCAAUCUAAUGAAUGUCUUUAAAUACUAUAUUAAGCUCAAAAUCACGAUAAAAAACAAAUUAAAAUUAACAUUAUUCUGAUCAGUUGACUUCCACAGUUCACUACUAUACAAGUCACAGGCAUGUUGUCAGCACUCAAAAUCACCAAAAACGUAAAGUUUAUAAAAUAAUUAAUCCAAUGAAUGUCUUUAAAUACUAUAUUAAGCUCAAAAUCACGACAAAAAACAAAUUAAAAUUAACAUUAUCCCGAUCAGUUGGACUUCCGCAGUUCACUACUAUACAAGUCACAGGCAUGUUGUCAGCACUCAAAAUCACCAAAAACGUAAAGUUUAUAAACUAAUUAAUCUAAUGAAUGUCUUUUAAUACUAAAUUAGCUAAAAAAUCACGACGAAAAACAAAUACGAAAAAUCCAAAAUUACAUUGAGUUUAGGUUAAAAACGGUUUUGUGUGCCAACCAAAGAUCACGUGAUUUAACUUUGACAGGUCGAUGGAUUCCCUAAUUUACAUUUGUAAAGAAUAUCCUGUUUGUUUUUAUUGUCGAUUGUGCAGCGAAAUUGUGUGCAGCAAAUCAAAUAUAAAGUAGUUUAUCGCCUACAGAACUGAAUUAGUCCAUAGCAGUUAUCAGUUUUUCUUUCUUGGGAAGCUUAUACAUGUAACUUGUAUUGUUGUAAAUUGUGGGAGUAGGGCAGACAGGGAAAAGUCUUAUUUUGUACUGUUCCCAAGGCUCCCCAUGCAAUACAUUUAAAUGAAUUAUCCAAACAAAGCCGGGGACAAUGGAUAAAAGCCACAAGAAGAACAGAUAUAAGGGAACUAAAAUUAAAAUAUGAAAAGUAAACAUUUUAUAAGUGGAACAACCACCAGAUAUUUAAAAGGUAUAAAAAGAAGAAACUGCUGGAAUUUCAAAACAAAUGUGUUUGACUAGUAAAGAUUUGGAUAAAUAACAGGAGUUACUUUGGGCUAUAGCUACGUGCAGAUUUAUUUCCUUGUGGCUUCCUAUGUUAAUUCUUAUUAAUUAUACACUUAAAUAUGUUUUUAGUCUCAGGAAGAUUUUAUAUUUGAUUAUUUUUGAAUAAACAUUAUUAUUAUUAUUACCUUAAUUUCCAUUAAAUAAAUUAACUGUAAUCAAUAAAGUAAUCGUUUAAUUGUUAAUAAAUUAUCAAGUAUGA